AACGAACGCUGGCGGCAUGCCUAACACAUGCAAGUCGAACGAGACCUUCGGGUCUAGUGGCGCCCGGGUGCGUAACGCGUGGGAACCUGCCUUUAGGUUCGGAAUAACUCAGAGAAAUUUGAGCUAAUACCGGAUGAUGUCUUCGGACCAAAGAUUUAUCGCCUUUAGAUGGGCCCGCGUUGGAUUAGAUAGUUGGUGGGGUAAAGGCCUACCAAGGCGACGAUCCAUAGCUGGUCUGAGAGGAUGAUCAGCCACACUGGGACUGAGACACGGCCCAGACUCCUACGGGAGGCAGCAGUGGGGAAUAUUGGACAAUGGGCGAAAGCCUGAUCCAGCAAUGCCGCGUGAAUGAUGAAGGCCUUAGGGUUGUAAAGCUCUUUUACCCGAGAUGAUAAUGACGGUAUCGGGAGAAUAAGCCCCGGCUAACUCCGUG
rnacentral:rRNA from 1 species